ensembl:snoRNA SNORA62 Small nucleolar RNA SNORA62/SNORA6 family
UGUGCCACUGCCCCCAGUUCAGAAUUUCAACUUUUGAGUGUUGGAAGUGUGCUACAUUAAUGGCAGGAUUUUCGCUAGCAGCAGUAGAGUUUCCCUCUGACUGGUAGUUGGUAGUGGUCUCUGCCACACAU